UACGUAGGGGCAAGCGUUGUCCGGAUUUAUUGGCGUAAAGAGCGUGUAGGCGGCUUUGCAAGUCCGUUGUGAAACUCGAGGCUCAACCUCGAGACGCCGGUGGAACUGCAAAGCUAGAGUCCGGAAGAGGAGAGUGGAAUUCCUGGUGUAGCGGUGAAUGCGCAGAUAUCAGGAGGAACACCAAUGGCGAAGGCAGCACUCUGGACGUGACUGACGCUGAGACGCGAAAGCGUGGAGCAAACAGG
rnacentral:rRNA from 1 species